rnacentral:misc_RNA from 1 species
GUGAGACAUACAUCCCUCCUGAAAGUGGCACUGUUGGUGCCAUUUCAAUUGCGGAGGCUAUUUGGUCUUGGGUUUGAUUGGCCAUUACCAGUUUAAAAACUUCAAAAUCAUAUCCAGAAAUCCCAAAGAUCAAAUCAGCCUACUGGUGUCAUUUCAAUUGUAGAAAAGGUUGGUUUGGUUGUGAGUCAGAAUUUUGAGAUCUGAUCACCAAAAAAUCCUAACCACCAAAUCAAACUGAAUUGGCUUUCAUCUUAUUGUGGUACAUUUUUUGUUGUCUUGAAUUGACAGGCUGG